rnacentral:lncRNA from 1 species
CGCCCGAUUUUUUUUUAUUUUUGAAAAAAAUUACGAUUUCCGGAUUUUGUUCAUUUCCGUUACCGGUAACCGUCGAUAUUUCGUUUCGUGUAAAACUUCCUGUUUUAAAUUUCGGUUUUCGUAUUGCUUAAAAUAUUCUAACUGGAUGAUUAAGUCGAUAUAUUCUGCUGAUCUAUGAUGACAACAUCAUUUACCGAGAAUAAAUUAAAAGAUUGAUUAUGAGAAGGGCGUGAAAUAUUCGCUGUGUCCAAGAACGCAAAUCGCCGUACACUAUGUCACAAAUGACAAAUGUUUGCGAGUAAAACACCUUGGAUUUAUUUUAUUUAUACAAUGACUUUGUGUCAAGAAAUUUGGACUGUGAAGGAAACCCAAAAGCGUCAGAAUCGUGAAACACAUUUGACUGGAAUAAAGAAAUUGACACAAGCAUGAACUUUUUAGAUUAAUGACCGUAUAUUGAGUUCAGAAAAUCGACAAACAUACGCAUUUUUAAUUUAUUAAUUUACAGCAAGCUCUUAGAAAUAAAUUUAUCCAUGCCUUUCGUUUUUUUGUAAAAAAAAAACAACCCAGCAAACAUCCUCUGUCCCAAUACCCACGAUAGAGUCAUUAAACAACUCUGUUCUACAUUGUAAUUAUAUUUGCAUCUUGCAUAUUAAGGACCAACCCUAUUAUUUCAACACUGUUUGAGUUUUCAUUUUAUUCUGUACUUAUCGUACUCGUGUUGCAUACCAAUGGAUUUGCUUCAUUUUAUUCGGACAACAAAAACAUAGCUUAGAAAGCAAAAUAUAUUUCAUGUAGGUAGUCCAACUGAAGAGAGCAUUUCCUCACAUUUCUGCUGUUUACUAUAAAAUAGGUUUCUAAAGCGGCAAUUACAUGUAGAACAGUGGUGGCCAAUCAGAGAUAUAUACUUGAAUACGAAUUUGAAAAAGCGGCACCAGCAUAUGGAGUAAAUGUGUCUCAAUAUUGAUACGUUACUCUAGAGCUAGCUCAAAGUACAUGUACGCUGAUUUUGUUGAACGAGGAAUACUGCUUUCUCAAAAGUUGCUAAGACAGGGCUAUGAAUCAUCAAAUUAAGGUCAUCACUCAAUUGUAUGGUUGCCAUCAUGAGCUGAUUGGCCAUUAUGACAAAAGUGUGUCAGAAAUCAUAUCUCAGUGAUAUUCUUCCUCAGUCAUAACAACCUUCCAUCAUUACCGAA